GGUGAACGCUGGCGGCGUGCUUAACACAUGCAAGUCGAACGAAGAAAAUUUGAUUGAGAGCCUCGGCAGGAUUUCAUUUUUUCUUAGUGGCGGACGGGUGAGUAACGUGUGGGCAACCUGCCCUGUACUGUGGAAUAAUCACUGGAAACGGUGACUAAUACCGCAUGUCAUCACCGGAGGGCAUCCUCUGGUGAAAAAAGGAUUUAUUCGGUACAGGAUGGGCCCGCAUCUGAUUAGCUAGUUGGUGAGAUAACAGCCCACCAAGGCGACGAUCAGUAGCCGGUCUGAGAGGAUGAACGGCCACAUUGGGACUGAGACACGGCCCAG
rnacentral:rRNA from 1 species